GGCCUGGUGGUCUAGUAGUAUGAUUCCUUCUUAGGGCGAGUGUCGUAUUUGGAGGAGGUCCCGGGUUCAAUUCCCGGCCAGGCCC
rnacentral:tRNA from 1 species